AUAAGAGAGUGAAAGACAGUAAUGAUGUUUUAUUUUGAAAUCUUGAAGAUCAUGGAGAUAAUUAUUUUCAAAUAUGAAAAAAAUGAAAAAGAAAAAACAAGAGAAAUAGAAGAGAUAAAAUAAAGUGGAAAUAAAAAAAUGAAAAUAAAAUAAAAUAAAAUAAUAAAAUGAUAAAAAAAUAAGAUGAAAAAAACAGGGGUAAAAGAUAUGGCUAUAUUUG
rnacentral:lncRNA from 1 species